UACGUAGGUGACAAGCGUUAUCCGGAAUACUGGGCGUAAAGCGCACGCAGGCGGCUGCGUAAGUCUGACGUGAAAUCUCCCGGCUUAACCGGGAGCGGUCGUUGGAAACUAUGCGGCUUGAGGCGAUGAGAGGGGUGUGGAAUUCCCGGUGUAGUGGUGGAAUGCGUAGAUAUCUGGAGGAACACCGGUGGCGAAGGCGGCAUCCUGGACCGACACUGACGCUGAGGAGCGAAAGCCAGGGGAGCAAACGGG
rnacentral:rRNA from 1 species